GACGAACGCUGGCGGCGUGCUUAAUACAUGCAAGUCGAACGGAAAGGCCCUGCUUUUGUGGGGUGCUCGAGUGGCGAACGGGUGAGUAACACGUGAGUAACCUGCCCUUGACUUUGGGAUAACUUCAGGAAACUGGGGCUAAUACCGGAUAGGAGCUCCUGCUGCAUGGUGGGGGUUGGAAAGUUUCGGCGGUUGGGGAUGGACUCGCGGCUUAUCAGCUUGUUGGUGGGGUAGUGGCUUACCAAGGCUUUGACGGGUAGCCGGCCUGAGAGGGUGACCGGCGACAUUGGGACUGAGAUACGGCCCAGACUCCUACGGGAGGCAGCAGUGGGGAAUAUUGCACAAUGGGCGGAAGCCUGAUGCAGCAACGCCGCGUGCGGGAUGACGGCCUUCGGGUUGUAAACCGCUUUCGCCUGUGACGAAGCGUGAGUGACGGUAAUGGGUAAAGAAGCACCGGCUAACUACGUG
rnacentral:rRNA from 1 species